GAUGACUGGGGUGAAGUCGUAACAAGGUAGCCGUAUCGGAAGGUGCGGCUGGAUCACCUCCUUUCUAAGGAA
rnacentral:rRNA from 1 species